rnacentral:misc_RNA from 1 species
UGAGAGUGAUGCCCAUCACGCACAUUCGCGUCGCACGAGGCCCGUGCACCUCUACGCUCCUCUCACCUUCUUUUCGUUCCCCACCUUCGCAGCGCCUCCCACACCCCUUGUCGAUUGUGUAGAGGGUGCGGCUCAUAGCGUCAACGUACACAGACGCUCUUUCAGCGUGUGCCUUGCCCUGCCCCUUCACCGGUGCCACGUGUAGGGGUAUGUGUUUGCGCGAGAGUCAGUGCGUCGCCGCUGGCCAUGUCCACUCCCGCUGCAAAGUGCCUUGGCGGGCUCCUUCACUUCUUGCCGCACCGCUGCUUCACGAAGGUGCAGGAAGCCGUCAUCCCGGCCUUGUUCACGAAUGACCGCAAUUGUCUUGUGGCCGCGCCAACUGGUAGUGGGAAGACGGUCCUGCUGGAGGUGGCGAUGCUGCGCCUCUUUCGCAACGUUCUCGCCCCCCGCGAUGACGCCGGCGCAAGGGCGACAGAGGAGGAUGGCGAGGCCCGCAGCUGUUCUGGGCCACUGCAGCAGCGAAAACGGAAGGCGGUGUACAUCUGUCCCAUUAAGGCGCUCGCGAACGAGAAGUACGAGCACUGGCGUGCCCAAUUUCCGACCUUGACGGUUGUGAUCGAAACGGGCGAUCAGCAGCAGCAACAAGUAGACCAGCAGGAGCGCUCGUGCUCCACAGCGUCCGCGACCGGUGAUGUCCGAGGACGCGACGGAUUAGAGAGCAUGGCUUGCGUCUCACAGGCUGACAUUCUCGUCACCACGCCGGAGCGGUGGGACAGCAUCACGCGACGCUGGAAGGAGAAGGAGGUGAUGGCGAUCGUAAACUCUGUCGGCCUCCUGCUUUUAGACGAGGUGCACACGGUGCAAGAGGAGCGUGGCGCCGCCAUGGAGGCCAUCGUGAGCCGCGUCAAGGUCAUUCAAGCAUCGUCGAGUGCCAUGCAUCAACACUCGGCGACGGAGACGGCGCCAACACGCAUUAUUGCGAUUAGCGGUACACUGCCCAACAGUGGCGACCUGGCCGAGUGGCUGGAGGUGUCGCCGGAGAUGACGUUUGCCUUCGCCCCGAGUGACCGCCCGGUGCCGCUGACGAUACGUGUGAUCGGCUACGCGCACGACUCGCCAAACCCGUUUGCUUUCCAUCGCUUCCUCUCCUUCAAGAUAUUCGGCUUCAUGCAGCAGUACAGCCAAGGUAGGCCGACGCUCGUUUUUUGUGCCUCGCGGAAGGAGACGACGAGUUCGGCGCAGCGCAUCGUUGAAGACAUCCGCGAUGCCGCAGCUCGCCGGGGGCAGUUGGCGCAGCUGGAACCUUCUGCAGAAGCGCAGCAGCUGAUGCAGCAGGCUAGCGACAAGCAGCUGCGCAGCUGCCUGAUGAUGGGUGUUGGCUUUCACCACGCCGCCAUGACCAGGGAAGACCGCCAGCUCGUGGAGCGGAUGUUCCGCGAGCAGUACAUUGCCGUCGUAUGCGCCACAACAACCCUCGCCUUGGGUGUGAACUUGCCUGCGCAUCUCGUUCUUAUCAAAGGAACUACUUUUUUUUCGAGUGGGCGGUGCCAGGACAUGCCCGUGUCAGAGGUGAUGCAGAUGUGCGGGCGUGCCGGUAGGCCUGGCUGCGACACGCACGGCGUGGCGCUAGUGCUCACCAUGCAACGCAGCGUGCACCUCUACGAGACACUCACUAGCGGCGCCGUGACGCUGACCUGCGUCGAGAGUCACUUGCACCGCCACAUGAUCGAGCACGUCAACGCGGAGGUGGCGCUGCGCACUAUCCACAGCUUCCCCUCCGCGAUGGAGUGGCUGAAGACGACGUUCUUCUGGAUCCGCCUGCGCAAGUGUCCGCCACACUACGGGCUGGAGUUCGCAAACCGAGCCGAGGAGCUGGAGUUUAACGCGGAGGCUUUCGUGGAGGCGCUCAUGGAGCGCGCGCUGCGCGUGCUCAUGGAGGAAGGUUGCGUGCAUCUGAGUCAUCUGGACACGUUGGUGCUCUCGGCGGCGAGAGGGACGGCCGCGCCAGUCGCCACAGGCGACAUGGAAGACAUCAAGCAUCCCUCGGCGGUUUUUGAGGCAACGCGGUUGGGAAGGGCCAUGUCCCGCAUGUACAUUCUGUUUGACACGGUGUGCACCCUCAACGCAAGACUCAAGGCCCGCGGGGCGGUGAGUACGAACGGCGACGCGCCCGACGACGACUCUGGUGUGGAUGCGUGUGCCGGUGCCAUGGACGUUAGCGUAAAGACCACGGCACGGACAGGCUCUAUGGGCGUCGCAGAGGUGCACGAGUACUCGCACGCGAAGAAAGACACCUCAUCAGAAGGCAUGCAACCGCACAGCACUGCAGCAGACGCGACUGUGUGCUCGUCAAGGCGACCUAUGAUGCCCUUCAAUCUGCGGGAGGUUCUCCAGCUUCUCUGCCAUUGCCAGGAGCUUGUGGAGGUUCGCCUGCGUCAAGGUGACCGCGGUCCGCUGAACGAGCUGAACAAGACAGUGAAGUACCCGCUACACAGCGGACGCCGCGGCGGGCGAGAGGUCCGGGAGGACUGGCAGAAGGCCUAUGUGCUGAUUCAGGUCCACAUUGGGCUGCUUCCCCUCACGGAAGUCUCCCUGCGGAACGACUCUCUGCGCCUGUGGGCGGUCGUGCCCCGCAUGUCGCGCUUUCUGGAAGAGUACGCGUGGGCCGCCACCACUUCCUACAGUUUAGCCACGCAAGCAAACCUGCUGGCCCGCUGCAUCGAGCGCCGUGUGUGGCCAGACGGGCUCGUGCUGCGCCAGCUCAAACAUGUCAGCGACUCGGUGGCGAAAGCUCUGCUGCGGGGCGGGUAUAGCACGUUUGAAAGCCUCGGCACUGUUAACGCACGUCAGCUGGAGGUGCUGUGCAGCCGACUGCCACCUUUUGGGUCACAAAUACUGAGCGAGGUGCGACGUCUGCCAAGGAUAUCGUUGGACAUCAGCUUUAUGGCUUCGCCGGCGGAGUCGGACGGCAUAGACAACCAACAUCGUGUGCCGAGUGGAGUUGUGCAGCUCACGUUGUCUCCAGGUACCGAGGCGGUGACUGAUGAAGGUGUCCCCAACGCGGCGCGGAGGCAGCGCUCGGAGACUGCCUCAUCGAAGGCUGCAGGCGGGAAACCACAGCUGCUCAGCGACGUGGUUGCGCUUGAUUCGACGCGCGUGCUUCUUCUUGUCGGAAUGCCUAGCGAAGAUCGCGUGCUCUUGAAGCGAUUUGUGCCGCUCUCUGCCUUUGGUUCACCGGACGCCCCAGGGAGUACAGCAGAGGCAGCGUCAAGAGCGACAGCAGAUGGUCUCUGUGCGUGGACACUCUGCUUCCCUUUUGUCUCUCCUCCCUUGUUGCGUGACACUAGUAGUGGUGGUGGUGGCAAAGGCAGGCGAAUCGAGGCUCGGUGUCUGGUGCUGCGGGUCGUGGGGAUGGACACCGUGACGGCGCGCGAUGAGGAAUUCACCUCCGCCCGUGGCGAUGCUGCGAGCGAGAGCAUCCACAGGUCAGCACAGAAGCCCGUGGCCAACGCUUGCGUGCUUUUUCCCGCGCCAAAGGACGUUGCGAUUCUUCCCGACACGAAAGCGCCGCAGACAGCGCUGUCCGUGCAUGUGGCGUCUGAGGCCCGCGCCACGUUCAACGAGCUACUGGAGGACCUCCAGUACGUCGCAAGUGCGGGAGAUCCAACUCAGCCCUACCGCUCCGCUCCACGAGAACCACCCAUCUCACGCAAGCGCACUCGUAUCGGCCAAAGGGCAUGUCGUGCCACAGAUGACGAUCAAGGGAUGCAGAAAAAGGAGACACGCCAGACAAAUGGCAAUACCGCCGCCAUGCCGCUGCCCUCAGCAAUGGCGAACGCCACCUCCCUCCUACCAGUCCCAGGUGCGUCAGAUCUGCGUGAGGCAGAUGGUAGUGGCGCCGCCGGUGCGGCGGCGUCUGAGGUGUCCCAAGAGCGCGCAGCUGCAGGCGGGUCGUCUCUCGACUCCGUGCGUUCCUCGCCUGAGCAUUGUGCUGACAAAGGGGCCCGCUUAGAGAAACCCUUGCGUGACCAAAACACUCCACAGCAUGUCAGCGAGUUCCCGUCGAAGCCGGUGCGCGAAUCGCCAUCACCGCGGCAGGCCCGACUCUGCCCCUCCCUGGAGACAGGAGCUGCCGACGCCCUCGCUGUAUCAACGCCAUCUGCGGCGCACAAGCGCGUGGCACGAGUUCGUCUACAGCCGUGCACCUCGCCUCCAGCGUCCCGACCUCCCGGCACUUCCCCACGCGCUUGCUUUCCGGCACUGCACAGAGAGAUACCAUACUCUACCCCGCAGGCAGCUUCGUCGAGGCCAGUGCACCCUCACGACUACGGCGACACACCUCCGGGUGUCACAACGUCAGUGGACCAGGGACGCACAUAUCCGUUGAGACGCAUGACUCCACAGAGCGGGCAAUGGUGCCCUUCGAUGGUGGCACCAACGCUGCCCCCGUCCUGCCGCUUCGUGGUACGCGUGCCGCCACCUCACGCCUCAUCUCUUCGCUUAGGCAGAGACUGCAUGCACCGUAGCGCGCGCCAACGGAGCGACGUAGUGGAACCGCAGGAGGCGUUCUACUACCCGGUGGAUCCUCAGCAGGCGCCGCCAGUCAUGCGCUACGCUUUCAGUGGCGUGCAGGGCGAGUGGUGGCGGCCUAGCUAUAUGCAGGACUCGAGCUGGAUGCAUGGAGGCGCUGCGUCCCCGCAUCCGUACCCCUAUCACACGCCUUCCAUGGUGACUCGGCUAGCCAACUACGGGCCAAUGCUGGCACGACCGAAUAGUGUUGGACAUCUCCCAGCUCACUGGGACCACGUUGCCGCCGUUCCUGCGUCGCGCUUUGCGGGGCAGCACUCGCCGUCCUUCUUUGCGUCUCGGCCGCCAUUUGAAUUCGCUGAGGAACACCAACAGAUAUGGCAGACGGACUCCCGGCUGUCUAGCUACCCGCCUUCCUCGGCGCCCGGUGUAUUGCUGCCGCAUCAAGCUUCGUCGCCGACCCCAUACACUGUGUUGCAAGCCCAGCCCUGGCCUCGUCCACCGCCACCGCCGGUUUACGACCCUCGGGACUGGCGUCCGCCCGCAUCUAUGCAGCGCGAGCCUGUCCUUCCGUCGCUGUGGAUGCCGGUGACCCAUGAGCACCAGAAGCAGCGCUUUGCUGUGACGGAGGGCGAUCCGCGUGCAAGAACAGCCCCCUCAGACAUGUCUGUGAGCCGCGCGGACGCGUCUGUUGCACGACCCGCAUCGAUGCCCACCAGUGACGGCGGUAACUUCCCCUCGCGCGUUCGUCGCCGCUCCCCAAUGGUGGCUCAAUCGUGGUGGCAGUGACACUGAGUGCAUGUCUUGUUUUUUUUUUUCUCGAUUUCCCGUUCCCCUUUUUUCCUGGAAGCCGGAGGUUGGGGUUGGGGGGUUGUGCUGCUGCAUGAGUGUGCCGGGCCGUUGCCCGUGCGCUGCUGCUGCUGCUGCUGCUGCGAUAUCUGCUAUUUCUCCCUCUCUGCUUCUCUGCUCAUUCGAGUAGCCUACAAGAGAGUAAUACAUGUCGCACAAACAACAGUACUGAGCUGAUAUUCU